GCCGAUAGGGCUGCAAAUGCAGGCCACUUUGAUAUAGUGGUAUCUGAGGUUAAUCCUCCGUCGGUA
rnacentral:tRNA from 1 species